rnacentral:rRNA from 1 species
GAUGAACGCUGGCGGCGUGCUUAACACAUGCAAGUCGAACGGCAAGGCCCUUUUGGGGUUACUUGAGUGGCGGACGGGUGCGUAACACUUGAGUAACCUUCCCUUUACUUCUGUAUAAGUUCAGUAACCUGGGGCUACUACCGGUAAGACAUCCUACCUGCUUGGGGGGGGUUCGAAAGCUCGUGCGGGCUUGGAUGGACUGGCGGCUUAUCAUCUUGUUGGUUGGGUAGUGGGUUACCAAGGCUCUGACGGGUAGACCGCCAGCGAGUGCGAGCGGCCAAAAUGAGACUGAGGUACGGCAGAGAUUGCUAAGGUAGGAAGCAGUGGGGAAGAUUGAACAAUGGGCGCAGGCCGGAUGCAGCAGGGCUGCGGGUGGGAUGACGGCCUUCGGGUGGUAAACCGCCUUCAGGAGGGGAGAAGGCUGUGGUGACGGUACCUGAAGAAGAAGCACCGGCUAACUACGUG